GCAGUGGCCCGCUAACCCUAAUCCGCUUCCUGGUUUUAACAGGUAAUACCGUCUUCUUCCAUCACCUCUCUUUGCUCUCGGCUCCUCUCUAUUGAUUUGCAUACAUACACAAACUCGUACUAUUCUGUCUCCGCGUAUAGGGUUUUUGUGGGGUUUACAGGGGGUUAGAAACGGUAGUAUUAUCUAUUGAGAGAGAGAGAGAGGCAAUGGAGGAAGCAUCAGAACGAAACAAGAAGCAGAGCGGGCCAGUGCUUGCAUGGAUGAGAAGCCCGAUUGACGUUUCCCAAUUCGACGAAUGCCCUCUUAAUCGCCUCCCCUUUCUCGACCCUAGGUUGCAGGUGGCUUUGCAGAGUAUGGGUAUUACUUCCCUCUUUCCUGUGCAAGUUGCAGUCUGGCAAGAGACUAUGGGACCUGGUUCUUUUGAGAGAGACCUUUGUAUAAAUUCUCCCACAGGAAGUGGAAAGACGUUAGCCUAUGCUUUGCCUAUAGUGCAAAUGUUGUCAACUCGUACCAUUCAAUGUCUUCGUGCUUUAGUAGUGUUGCCUACACGUGAUUUGGCCUUACAGGUUAAGGAAGUCUUUGCUGCUAUUGCACCUGCAGUUGGCUUAUCUGUUGGCUUGGCAGUUGGCCAGUCCUCAAUUGCUGAUGAAAUUUCAGAACUUAUUAAGAGGCCUAAACUUGAGGCAGGUAUCUGUUAUGAUCCAGAUGAUAUUUCACUGGAUUUACAGAGUUCAGUGGACAUUUUGGUUGCAACACCUGGAAGGCUGAUGGAUCAUAUUAACUCUACGAGAGGUUUUACACUUGAGCAUCUUUGUUAUCUGGUCGUUGACGAAACAGAUCGAUUGCUCAGGGAGUCAUACCAAUCCUGGCUUCCUACUGUUCUUCAGUUCACUCGCUUCGGUGUGGGAGGGCUCUUCCCUCAUGCCAGAAAUUUCCUUCCUUCCAUGUUUGGUUCACUAAAGACAAUAAGGAGACUCGGUGUUGAGAGGGGAUUCAAGGAUAAAUUUUACCCUAGGCUUGUGAAGAUGGUACUAUCUGCCACACUAACCCGGGAUCCAAGCAAACUCGCGCAGCUUGAUCUGCAUCACCCUUUGUUCUUGACAACUGGACAAAGACGUUACCGACUCCCGGAACAACUAGAAUCCUUCAAAUUGAUAUGUGAAUCAAAACUUAAACCAUUGUAUUUGGUGGCCCUUCUUCAAACUUUGCAAGGGGAGAAGUGCAUUGUUUUCACAUCCUCAGUAGAAUCAACCCACAGACUCUGCACAUUACUGAACUUCUUUGAUGAUUUACGAAUCAAGAUCAAGGAAUAUUCUGGUCUUCAGCAGCAGUCCAUAAGAAGCAAGACAUUGAAGGCAUUUCGGAAGGGAGGAAUACAAACACUUGUUUCCUCUGAUGCAAUGACUCGUGGAAUGGAUGUUGAAGGGGUCAGACAUGUUAUCAACUAUGAUGUGCCGGCAUACAUAAAGACAUACGUUCAUCGAGCUGGUCGAACUGCUAGAGCAGGCCAGUCAGGGCGUUGCUUUACACUUCUUCGUAAAGACCAGGUUAAGCGAUUCAAGAAGAUGUUACAGAAAGCUGACAACAACUCUUGUUCUGUUUACUCUGUUCCUUCUGAUGCCAUAGAAUCACUUCAGUCAACAUAUACUUCUGCUCUGGAAAAAUUGAAGGAGAGUGUUGAAGCAGAAACAAACAGGAAGCGCAAGACUAAAUUCAAGUCUUCUAGCUUGGUUAAAGGACAGAAGUUAAACAAUUAGUAGGCAUGAAUUUUGUUUUCCUAACAUGAAUCUCUCAUCACAUGUCCAAAUUUGCUGUCUGUAUGAGUGAAUCUGAAACUGGAGAACAAUUAUAGAAUUCCCUCUUCAAGAUUGCCCGAGGAAAGAUCUUAUGGUCUUUCACUUGCCUUUUUCUUGUUUGUUAUCAUUUACUUUUGUCUAAGGCUUCUGGUAAAUGAAAAUGUCUUUUAUUUUAUUAUCCAAAAUAUUUGUCACAUGUGAAGUGGGUAUAUGUUGCAGAUGCUGAAUUCAUGUAUGUGAAAUCAUGAGACAACAAAAGUGUCAUGGUAUAAACAACAUGACACUUGAAUGAUGAGGUGUUGGUAACAAUACGUCUUGGUUUAUGUUUACUUGGAUCCCUAUACACAGGAACAUGUGAUCUAGGUUCGAGUCCAGUAUAGAGUUGACAUAUGAUUAACAGAACAGUACACCAACUUGUGAUACAUAGUUAGCUAAAUUUUGAUACAAACUCCUUACAGGAUUUUCC